UACAGAGGUCUCAAGCGUUGUUCGGAUUCAUUGGGCGUAAAGGGUGCGUAGGCGGCGCGGUAAGUCGGGUGUGAAAUCUCGGGGCUUAACUCCGAAACUGCAUUCGAUACUGCCGUGCUUGAGGACUGGAGAGGAGACUGGAAUUUACGGUGUAGCGGUGAAAUGCGUAGAUAUCGUAAAGAAGACCAGUGGCGAAGGCGGGUCUCUGGACAGUUCCUGACGCUGAGGCACGAAGGCCAGGGGAGCAAACGGG
rnacentral:rRNA from 1 species